UAGCAUUACAAUACCAUUCAUCUUGCAA
rnacentral:piRNA from 1 species